rnacentral:rRNA from 1 species
AUUUGUCCGCCAGAAAAUUACGGGCGAAAGCCUAAAACUCAAAAGACUUGACGGUGUUCCACCCUACCUAGAGGAGCCUGUUUCAUAAUCGAUAAUCCCCGAUCAACCCGACCUCUCCUUGAAAUACUAACAGCCUAUAUACCGCCGUCCUUUUCGCUUACCUUCUGAAAGACAUAACAGUAAGCCUAAUAGUCUACUAACUAAUAAGUCAGGUCAAGGUGUAGCUUAUGGAGAGGAGAAAAUGGGCUACAUUUUCUAUAGUCUUAGACCAUACGAAAAGUAUUCUGAAACAAAAUACACAAAGGUGGAUUUAGCAGUAAG